rnacentral:rRNA from 1 species
CCCUUAGAUGUUCUGGGCCGCACGCGCGCUACACUGAUGCAUUCAACGAGCCUAGCCUUGACCGAGAGGUCCGGGUAAUCUUUGAAACUGCAUCGUGAUGGGGCUAGAUUAUUGCAAUUAUUAAUCUUCAACGAGGAAUGCCUAGUAAGCGUGAUUCAUCAAAUCGCGUUGAUUACGUCCCUGCCCAUUGUACACACCGCCCGUCGCUCCUACCGAUUGAGUGUGUUGGUGAGGAGUUUGGAUUGGCCUCGGAAGGUGGUUCGCCACCGUCCGUAGCUGAGAAGUUCUCCAAACCGCCCCACUUAGAGGAAGGAGAAGUCGUAACA